GCUAUUGUUACGUUUUAAGUAGUAAUAGUGAACGGAAAGCAAAAUAUCAAAGGGGCAAAGAGGACUUUUGACGCAACUCUCAGGCGAAGUUUAUCUCCCAAUUAGCAGUUGAGUGCGGAUUUCCCCGACAACCUACGACGACGAUGAUUUAGCUGGAGCUCUAAUUCUAAUAAUCUCUCCUUCUUUUGGGGUUAGGUAUCGGAACUUGUGGAAUUUCCGAUCCCAUCGGAAAAGAAAGUAAAAUGGCGUCACCGGAUAUUACUGAAAUGUUGGAAAAAUCGAAGGAGCUUGAUCGUUUAAGGAAAGAGCAAGAGGAAGUACUCCUUGAAAUCAAUAAGAUGCACAAAAAGCUUCAAAACACUCCAGAAGCCGUUGAGAAACCAGGCGACAAUUCCCUGUCAAAACUUAAGAUGUUAUAUACUCAAGCCAAAGAGCUUUCCGAGAGUGAGAUGAGUAUCUCCAACCAGUUGUUGGGCCAGCUGGAUGCAAUGAUUCCUGCUGGAGGUGCUGGCCAACAACGAAGAAGGAUAGAAGGCAACGAGCAGAAAAAGAAGAGGAUGAAAGGUGAUCCUGACAUUCCUAGGCUCUCUCCUUCCAUGCGAAAUCAGCAGGAGUUCUUUGCUAGCUUGAAGGGAGAACAAGUGGCUGCUAGAGUUGCGCAAGAAGAUGGUGAAAAGGAUGAGUGGGUUAUUGUCAAAGUUACUCAUUAUGACAAAGAAUCAAAAGAAUUUGAAGUUUUAGAUGAGGAGCCGGGAGAUGACGAGGAAGGUGGUGGUCAGAGAAAGUACAAGCUACCCUGGUCACAUAUUAUACCUUUUCCCAAGAUGAGUGAUCUUGCAACCGCUCCAGAAUUCCCUCCUGGAAAACAAGUUUUGGCAGUUUACCCAGGAACGACAGCCUUGUACAAAGCCACAGUAGUCCAGGCCCGCAAGAGGAAGAGUGACGAUUACACAUUAGAGUUUGAUGAUGAUGAGGAAGAU
rnacentral:misc_RNA from 1 species